rnacentral:lncRNA from 1 species
UAGACGUAGCGCCUCUUCCCCUAUGCGCCUAUUGGUACUGGUGUAGUAGGGUUGACUUGCAAUACAGAACCCAUAGGUGUAACCUUUCGCUCAAUACUAGAAUCGACAAUUGAAGCAUCUGAGGCUGCAUUAAUCGGGGAUACACGACAGAAGGAAUGGUUUUAUCUAUAAACUUCACCUUCAAACAAGCGUAGAUUUUUUC